UAAGAGUUUGAACCUGGCUCAGGACGAACGCUGGCGGCGUGCCUAAUACAUGCAAGUUGAGCGCUGAAGGUUGGUACUUGUACCAACUGGAUGAGCAGCGAACGGGUGAGUAACGCGUGGGGAAUCUGCCUUUGAGCGGGGGACAACAUUUGGAAACGAAUGCUAAUACCGCAUAAAAACUUUAAACACAAGUUUUAAGUUUGAAAGAUGCAAUUGCAUCACUCAAAGAUGAUCCCGCGUUGUAUUAGCUAGUUGGUGAGGUAAAGGCUCACCAAGGCGAUGAUACAUAGCCGACCUGAGAGGGUGAUCGGCCACAUUGGGACUGAGACACGGCCCAAACUCCUACGGGAGGCAGCAGUAGGGAAUCUUCGGCAAUGGACGAAAGUCUGACCGAGCAACGCCGCGUGAGUGAAGAAGGUUUUCGGAUCGUAAAACUCUGUUGGUAGAGAAGAACGUUGGUGAGAGUGGAAAGCUCAUCAAGUGAC
rnacentral:rRNA from 1 species